CCCGCUGAACUUAAGCAUAUCAAUAAGCGGAGGAAAAGAAACUAACAAGGAUUCCCCUAGUAACUGCGAGUGAAGCGGGAAAAGCUCAAAUUUAAAAUCUGGUGGCCUCUGGUCAUCCGAGUUGUAAUUUAGAGAAGCGUCUUCCGCGCUGGACCAUGCACAAGUCUCCUGGAAUGGAGCGUCAUAGAGGGUGAGAAUCCCGUCUUUGGCAUGGAUGCACCAGGGCUUCUGUGAUGCGCUCUCAAAGAGUCGAGUUGUUUGGGAAUGCAGCUCAAAAUGGGUGGUGAACUCCAUCUAAAGCUAAAUAUUGGCGAGAGACCGAUAGCGAACAAGUACCGUGAGGGAAAGAUGAAAAGCACUUUGGAAAGAGAGUGAAACAGUACGUGAAAUUGUUGAAAGGGAAACGCUUGAAGUCAGUCGCGUCGACCGAGACUCAGCCUCGCCUUGGCUUGGUGUACUUCUCGGCUGACGGGUCAGCAUCAAUUUCGAUCGGUGGAUAAAGGCUUAGAGAAUGUGGCAUCUUCGGGUGUGUUAUAGCUCUUCGUCGCAUACAUCGGUUGGGAUUGAGGAACUCAGCACGCCGCAAGGCCGGGUACUUGUACCACGUUCGUGCUUAGGAUGCUGGCAUAAUGGCUUUAAUCGACCCGUCUUGAAACACGG
rnacentral:rRNA from 1 species